GCAAAUCUAUUGGUUAUAAGAUAUAACAGCCUUUUCUAAUUGGCUGAAUUCAAAUACAGAAAGUUUACCUGUUAGAUUGAAACAUGAAACAUGGUGGACAAUGUACUGGUUUAACUUGUUAAAAUAAAGUUAAAGACAUUUAACAAACAGAAGAGUUCAUUAGUUUUUCCAUUAAAAACACUUUCUUAAAAUACUUAUGUAUUUAUAUCAUUUGGAAAGUGACAUGAAAUAUUGCUAAAGAGUGAUGCAUACAGUGUUUGAGCAGUCUGUCUAGGAAUAGAACAACAACUGAAGUUGAUGGAAGAUACUGCAGAGUUUGGCAGGGAAAUAAUCCAACAGCAAAGCGGCUCUUUAAGCGCAUUUACCUAGAGGACUUACAGGGCCACAAAUUCAUGAGCACAUGUGAGCAGUAUACAAUGUACCUCAUACCAAAAAGGACCCGGAGGCAGUGACUGGUGUUCAAUAUUCUCAGAAGAAAAGGAAAAUGGCAGUGGAAGACUUGGACAAACAUUUUUAGCCUCUGUGUUAAGCCUGGCAGUCUGUGGCUGGUGACAUGUUUUAUUUUGGUUACUUCUUGUAAAAAAAAGACCAGUUAUUUAUUUUGUGAAUUGUAUUUUGUGUUUGUUUUUUGUCUUAAUUUAUUUGUUGUUUUUUUUAAUUUAGGAAUUUGAAACUUGGAUAAUUGAAUUAAGUCCGUGUACAACAGUACUGAGCAUAGUAUAAUAAAUAACAAAUUUACAACAGUUGUUAAUUUGUUAUGUAUUAUUAUUAACUAUGCUCAGUACUUGAAUACUGGCUGUCUGCAUGGGAAUUUGUUUUCUAGAAAGUUGGUUUCAGACUUAAAUAUUUGAAGUUAACCUUCGGAACUUUUCUAGAAUUGUACUGGAACACAUCAACUAGAACUGAACUUCUGUUAUCAUACUGAAAGUGUCCUAGAAUUAAUAAGGAACAGUUGUUGAAUGUUAAAAUUUAUGAGAAAAAACUCUAGAACAAUUGUGUGUGAUGUGUGUGUGCAUGUUAUUGUGUGUGUUUAUGAACAUAUGUGAGAAAGGAAGUAUACUUGUCAUAAGAGAAAUGUAAAAUUCUACUUCUAUGUUUUAUAUUGUGCCUUUUAUAAGUUUUUCUGUUCUCACCUGUAUAUGCGUGCAUGUUUAUGGAUGUGAUUUUGAAUGUGUGCAUGCAUGCCUGUGGUUAAGAGAGUUGGUACUUUAUGAAAAUGUAAAACCACUCAUUUUUGAA